rnacentral:rRNA from 1 species
ACGAAGGGUGCAAGCGUUACUCGGAAUUACUGGGCGUAAAGCGUGCGUAGGUGGUCGUUUAAGUCCGUUGUGAAAGCCCUGGGCUCAACCUGGGAACUGCAGUGGAUACUGGGCGACUAGAAUGUGGUAGAGGGUAGCGGAAUUCCUGGUGUGGCAGUGAAAUGCGUGGAGAUCAGGAGGAACAUCAAAGGGGAGGGCAGCGACCUGGGGCAAUAUUGCCAGAGAUGCACGAAGGCGUGGGGAAGAGAGAU